rnacentral:rRNA from 1 species
UACGUAGGUGGCAAGCGUUGUCCGGAUUUACUGGGCGUAAAGAGCGCGCAGGCGGUCGUUCAAGUCGCGUGUGAAAGCCCCCGGCUCAACUGGGGAGGGUCACGCGAUACUGAUCGACUCGAAGGCAGGAGAGGGUAGUGGAAUUCCCGGUGUAGUGGUGAAAUGCGUAGAGAUGCGGAGGAACACCAGUGGCGAAGGCGACUUUCUGGCCUAUAACUGACGCUGAGGCGCGAAAGCGUGGGGAGCAAACAGG